GAUGAACGCUAGCGGCAGGCCUAAUACAUGCAAGUCGAACGGUGUCUUCGGACAUAGUGGCGCACGGGUGCGUAACACGUAUGCAACCUACCUUACAUUGGGGGAUAGCCUUUCGAAAGGGAGAUUAAUACCGCAUAAGACAGUAGCUGGGCAUCCAGCAGCUGUUAAAGAUUUAUCGAUGUAAGCUGGGCAUGCGUCCAAUUAGCUAGUUGGUGAGGUAACGGCUCACCAAGGCAAUGAUUGGUAGGGGAACUGAGAGGUCAAUCCCCCACCCUGGCACUGAGAUACGGGCCAGACUCCUACGGGAGGCAGCAGUAGGGAAUAUUGGGCAAUGGACGCAAGUCUGACCCAGCCAUGCCGCGUGCAGGAUGAAGGCGUUAUGCGUUGUAAACUGCUUUUAUACAGGAAGAAGCGACUCUUGCGAGAGGCAUUGACGGUACUGUAUGAAUAAGCACCGGCUAACUCCGUGCCAGCAGCCGCCGUAAUAC
rnacentral:rRNA from 1 species